rnacentral:tRNA from 1 species
GGGGCAGUAGCUCAGUGGUAGAGCUCCCGCUUAGCAUGCGGGGAGAAUUGGGGUUCGAUUCUAGGCUGCUUCC